CCGAGCGAGGGCCUCCGGCCCGACCUCCAACCCUUUGUUGACCAACACCCGUUGCCUCGGGGGCGACCCGGACGCCGACGCGUCGGCCGUCGGGCACCCCGGUGGACCACUGCAAACUCUGUCAUCCGUGCGUCGGAGUACUUUGCGAAUCAGUCA
rnacentral:misc_RNA from 1 species